rnacentral:rRNA from 1 species
GAUGAACGCUGGCGGCGUGCCUAAUACAUGCAAGUCGAGCGAACAGACGAGGAGCUUGCUCCUCUGACGUUAGCGGCGGACGGGUGAGUAACACGUGGAUAACCUACCUAUAAGACUGGGAUAACUUCGGGAAACCGGAGCUAAUACCGGAUAAUAUAUUGAACCGCAUGGUUCAAUAGUGAAAGACGGUUUUGCUGUCACUUAUAGAUGGAUCCGCGCCGCAUUAGCUAGUUGGUAAGGUAACGGCUUACCAAGGCAACGAUGCGUAGCCGACCUGAGAGGGUGAUCGGCCACACUGGAACUGAGACACGGUCCAGACUCCUGCGGGAGGCAGCAGUAGGGAAUCUUCCGCAACGGGCGAAAGCCUGACGGAGCAACGCCGCGUGAGUGAUGAAGGUCUUCGGAUCGUAAAACUCUGUUAUUAGGGAAGAACAAAUGUGUAAGUAACUAUGCACGUCUUGACGGUACCUAAUCAGAAAGCCACGGCUAACUACGUG